GCAGUGGUAGUUCAGUGGUAGAAUUCUUGCCUUCUAUGCGGGAGACCUGGGCUCUAUUUUGAGCCAAUGCA
rnacentral:tRNA from 1 species